UCCAGCGGGGACUGCAAAGUAACACCCUGGUUGGCCCUUUCCCCACAACACCUGCCCUGUGCAGUUGGGGAAGCGGCUGUCACAGAUGAAUUCACAGAUGAAUCGGCAGAGUGCGCUGAUACAAAGGUGGGCUCUGCUCUGAGUGUGGCCUGCACAGCCAGGGGACUUCCAAAUGCUCCUUCUCUGUUCAGCUCCCUUUGUGUUCACGGUAUAAUGACACACACUUUCUCAUUGGAUUCUUUUCACUCACCAGCUUUUUGUCGAUAAAGAUACGAUUGUUAAUGCUGUCGGGGCAUCGCACGACAUCCACCUCCUGAAGAUUGACAAUCGAGAAGAUGAGCUGGUGACCAGAAUCAACUCUUGGUGUACACGUUUAAUAGACAGGAUUCACAAGGAUGAGAUCAUGAGGAACCGCAAGCGCGUGAAGGAGAUCAAUCAGUACAUCGACCACAUGCAGAGCGAACUGGACAACCUGGAAUGUGGCGACAUCCUAGACUAGAUGAAUGUCAGCCACAGGAGCUUCUUCAAAACAUAGCACCAGCCCCAGCCAGGAGAAGGAAGUGCACACGCCUCACCCGCACCUCUAGAGAGUUGCUGGGCAUCUCUCAACCGCGAUCCCCAACACCAUUCUUCCCCCACCCCUGGAAAAACUUCCAAAAGUAGAGAAAAUAAAGGACUCAUUUCACA
rnacentral:lncRNA from 1 species